UCCGUGAAUAGGAGUAAGUGAGUAAAGGCC
rnacentral:piRNA from 1 species